rfam:Triticum aestivum genome assembly, contig: Triticum_aestivum_CS42_TGACv1_scaffold_034943_1BL
AUCCUACUCCCUCCGUCCGAAAAUACUUGUCGGAGAAAUGCAUAAAAAUGGAUGUAUCUAGAACUAAAAUACGUCUAGAUGCAUGCAUUCCUCCGACAAGUAUUUUCAGACAGAGGGAGUAUUAU